rnacentral:rRNA from 1 species
GAUGAACGCUGGCGGCGUGCCUAAUACAUGCAAGUCGAGCGAACAGACGAGGCGCUUGCUCCUCUGACGUUAGCGGCGGACGGGUGAGUAACACGUGUAAACCCCCCUUUAAGUAGGGGGAAAAUUCGGGAAAUCGGGCUAAAAUCCGGAAGAAACUCUUGAUCCACUGGGUCAAUUGGGAAAUUUCGGUUUUUGGGGACUUAUUCGCGGAUUCGCGCCGUAUUGGCUGGAUGGUGAGGUAACGGGUUUCCAAGGCAAAGACGGGUAGACGAGCUGAGAGGGUGGUCGGCCACACUGGAACUUAGACACGGUCCAGACUCCUGCGGGAGGCAGCAGUAGGGAAUCUUACGCAAUGGGCGAAAGCUUGACGGAGCAACGCCGCGUGAGUGAUGAAGGUCUUCGGAGCGUAAAACUCUGUUAUGAGUGAAGAACAAAUGUGUAAGUAACUAUGCACGUCUUGACGGUACCUAAUCAGAAAGCCACGGCUAACUACGUG